rnacentral:lncRNA from 1 species
AGACGUUCUUCGCCGAGAGUCGUCGAGGUUUCCUGCUUCAACUGUGCUUGGACGGAACCCGGCGCUCGUCCCCCACCCCGCCACCGCCGCCGCCUCUCCUUAGUCGCCGCCUUGACGACCGCGUCCACCUCGCAGGUGCGCCAGAACUACCACCAGGACUCAGAGGCGGCCAUCAACCGCCAGAUCAACCUGGAGCUCUACGCCUCCUACGUUUACCUGUCCAUGUCUUACUACUUUGACCACGAUGAUGUGGCUUUGAAGAACUUUGCCAAAUACUUUCUUCACCAAUCUCAUGAGGAGAGGGAACAUGCUGAGGAACUGAUGAAGCUGCAGAACCAAUGAGGUGGCCGAAUCUUCCUUCAGGAUAUCAAGAAACCAGACUGUGAUGACUGGGAGCGGGCUGAAUGAGAUGGAGUGUGCAUUACAUUUGGAAAAAAAUGUGAAUCAGUCACCACUGGAACUGCACAAACUGGCCACUGACAAAAAUGACCCCCAUUUGUGUGACUUCAUUGAGACACAUUACCUGAAUGAGCAGGUGAAAGCUAAUUUCCCCAUAGCCGUGGGUUGACUUCCCUGGUCACCAAGGCAGUGCAUGCAUGUUGGGGUUUCCUUUACCUUUUCUAUAAAUUGUACCAAAACAUCCACUUAAGUUCUUUGAUUUGUACCAUUCCUGCAAAUAAAGAAAUUUGGUACCCC